rnacentral:rRNA from 1 species
GCUUUUAACUAGAUAAUAACUUUCAGCAGUGGGUGUCUAGGCUCGCACAUCGAUGAAGAACGCUGCGAACUGCGAUACGUAAUGCGAAUGCAGGGAUUCAGUGAGUCAUCGAAAUUUUGAACGCAUAUGCACUUUCCGGGUUAUCCCUGGGAGUAUGCCUGUAUCAGUGUCCGUACAUCAAACUUGGUUUUCUUCUUUCCGUGUAGUCGGUGGAAGAUAUGCCAGAUGUGAAGUGUCUUGUGGCUGCUUUUCGAAUCGGCCGUGAGUCCUUUGAAAUGUACAGAACGGACUCUCUUUGUUCAAAAAGCGCGGCGUUGCUGGUUGCGAAGGCUGUCAGUGUGAUUAAUCGGCGACCGGUUUGUCUGCUAUGGCAUCAAUGAAGGAGUGUUCAAUUCGCGGUAUGGUUGGCUUUGGCUAAACAGGCGCUUAUGGAACGUUCUUUCUGCUAUGACAGUAUGAACUGGUGAACCGUAGUCGUACAUGACUUGGCGUUUGAAUCGGCUAUGCUGUGCGAAGUAGAGUGACAGUUUUGGCUGUCGAGGGUCGAUCAAUUUGGGAAAUUGUGCUGUGUGAUUUCGGUCGCGUGGCAUCUCAAUUGGACCUGAUAUCAGGCAAGAUUACCCGCUGAACUUAAGCAUAUCAAUAAGCGGAGGA